CAUCAUCUUCAAUCUUGGGAAGGAGAGAGAAAGGGAAAGAGGGAGGAUGCGUGACCGGACCAGCCAAGCCGACCGCCCGGACGCCGCCUCCUUCGCCGCUCGUCGUCCACCGUUCGUCGCCGUCGCCGGAGCCGUCACGGUCGCCGUUCGUCCGCACGCCGGCACCACCGCUCGCACCACCGUCACCCCCUCUCUCCUCCAUCUCCGCUACAGCUCGAUGCACCAGCAGAUCCGAAGACGCCGGAGCAGCCCACGGUCCAGCCGGAUCGCCGUCGCGCACCCCUCUCGCGCCGUCCGUUGCCUCGCACGCCGCUGCUGUCCCGCGAGCCGCCUCCCUCACCAUCGUCCUCGCUCGUCUUCGCCUCCAGGAGGCUGUUCGGCCAGUUUAGGCCACGGCUCAGCCGCCUCCGGCCACCGUGCACCCCCGCCUUAGCCCGCCGGAGCUCCGCCUAGUCCUUGCCGCCCUUGCUCGCCCCAACCGACGCCGGAUCAGCCCUCCUCCGAGCUUGCUCAGUAGCUGCAAAAAUGGGUAUUGCAGCGGGGUUUUGGCCCGUUUUGGCCGCCUUCCCGAGCCCGGAUGCUCGGCCCGCUUUGAGGAAAGUUGUUCUCCUCGGCGUCCCCGUCGUUUUGGUCCGCUCAGCUCGCUAAUCCGGUCCCCGGUGGACGGAGUGGCCAGAUAGCUUUGGUUGGCCUUGAGUAGUUGCAGAUGUGAAGUCGUAAGAUUGGAGAACGUGUUCGACUUGUAGGUCGUAGGACAGUUCAUUUUUAAGAGCCGGUCUUUUGUAGACUGUUGGUCGUAGACCCUUGUUUGUAAUUCUGUUGAUUUGUAAAAGUAUUAUGUGGUGA